AGCCUGCUGAUAGGAUCCUAAUCGAAUGGGAAGGAGAACCUGGAUACUGGCUGGGAAAUGCUGGCAAAGGUACAACUCACAUUCUUACAGCCAUGACUGCAAUGUAAAACAGGGGAAAAUAAAAAAUCCCUGGAAUGAGACCUGUGUCCACUGCUGCAGAAGGUGACAAAUCAGAACUCCAGCCCAGGGGCUUGCAGGGGUUGAGCUGGUCCAGUAUCUCAGCAAGGUUCUGGUGGGACACAAGCACCUGCUGCAGCAGAGCCUUGCAGAACCCAUCUUGGGAUGGGUUCUUGGAUCUUGGGCAUGGGUAGGUCCCCUCUUCCAGUGGGUUUUGUCCAGUUGGAGCUGCUUUUCUCCCACAGGCACAAAGGACAGGUGAAACCCGACUCUGCCGUGUCCCCUCCAGGCCUUUGUUCCAUUUCAAAGCCACCAGAACAAGGGUGCUGUUGUGUCUCUCCUCGCCUCCCCAUAAUCACCGGGAAAGGACAGCUGCUGCUGGGAAGACGUUAUCAGGGCCAUCGUGACAGGAUGCACAAAGGCAGGGGACAAAGCGGGACCGCGGCUCUUUCCGUCUGAGAUGUCUGAUUAGAUGCUGAAUUUGUGACUCGCAGCUACUGAGCCGAGGACUCUUUGAUGGGCGUACCUGUCUCAGGUGACACUGUGAAUUCUGCCAUUCAUACAGCACAUGGCACCUCAGGGACAGCCAGGGACUUCUGUGCUUACUGCAAACAAGUAACACAUUUUUUUGUGUGUUUAUAUCCAACAAAUGUCUAAUCUGCCUUUAUCCCGCUGGUUUUUGAUGCCAGCUGAUUCUCCCAGUCAGGAAUUCUUAAUACAAGCACUGGAGAGCAUCUGCAGAAACAAAUGUUACUCAGCUUGUAUCCUGCUUUCCUCCUCAGCUGACCUCAAAGCGGUCUCAAAAAGAAAUCAGCAUCGUUAUCUCCCUUUGACAACUGGGAAAACAGAGGUGAGAGAAAGGCCAGAAGAGGUUUCCUAAAAUCCACGUGCCACGCAGAACCAGCUCCCGCGGCAGAGCAAGAGUGUUAAUUCAGUGUUUUUCUCAUCUAGUGCUUGAUCCCUGAAAGCUCGGAGUGAUUUUAACUCU
rnacentral:lncRNA from 1 species